rnacentral:sRNA from 1 species
UAGUAACAGUAAUAUAAAUGUAAACAUACAAACUACAC